GACGCUGCAGGACCCUCGGUCUUUCUUUCACUCCUAUCUCUAUGGUUAGCAAGUGACCACUCUACACUCUGGAGGACUCAGCGAGCGCAGAUGAGCCCUAGGCGACCUUAUUGGCACGUGACCGGAAGUCUGACUUGCUAUUGGUUAAUGCUGGUAAAGCCCGCCCAACAGCCUCCUGUCAGCUCCUUUAAGUAGACUCCGCGGGGAAGCGCUCAGUCUUUCGGCGACUGUGAGGUUCGAGAGAUUCCUGCCGGGCCGAGAACGUAGAUCACCUUCUACUCCCCUUCGACCUUUCCCCGAAGCCUUUGAAUAAAAUGGUUUGAUCCCA